UACGAAGGGGGCUAGCGUUGUUCGGAAUUACUGGGCGUAAAGCGCACGUAGGCGGACGUUUAAGUCAGAGGUGAAAUCCCAGGGCUCAACCCUGGAACUGCCUUUGAUACUGGACGUCUUGAGUACGGGAGAGGUGAGUGGAAUUCCGAGUGUAGAGGUGAAAUUCGUAGAUAUUCGGAAGAACACCAGUGGCGAAGGCGGCUCACUGGCCCGUAACUGACGCUGAGGUGCGAAAGCGUGGGGAGCAAACAGG
rnacentral:rRNA from 1 species